GUGGGGAAUCUUGCGCAAUGGGCGAAAGCCUGACGCAGCCAUGCCGCGUGAAUGAUGAAGGUCUUAGGAUUGUAAAAUUCUUUCACCGGGGACGAUAAUGACGGUACCCGGAGAAGAAGCCCCGGCUAACUUCGUGCCAGCAGCCGCGGUAAUACGAAGGGGGCUAGCGUUGCUCGGAAUUACUGGGCGUAAAGGGCGCGUAGGCGGAUCGUUAAGUCAGGGGUGAAAUCCCAGAGCUCAACUCUGGAACUGCCCUUGAUACUGGCGAUCUUGAGUGUGAGAGAGGUAUGUGGAACUCCGAGUGUAGAGGUGAAAUUCGUAGAUAUUCGGAAGAACACCAGUGGCGAAGGCGACAUACUGGCUCAUUACUGACGCUGAGGCGCGAAAGCGUGGGGAGCAAACAGGAUUAGAUACCCUGGUAGUCC
rnacentral:rRNA from 1 species